rnacentral:rRNA from 1 species
AUUGAACGCUGGCGGCAGGCCUAACACAUGCAAGUCGAGCGGAUGAAGGGAGCUUGCUCCUGGAUUCAGCGGCGGACGGGUGAGUAAUGCCUAGGAAUCUGCCUGGUAGUGGGGGAUAACGUCCGGAAACGGGCGCUAAUACCGCAUACGUCCUGAGGGAGAAAGUGGGGGAUCUUCGGACCACACGCUAUCAGAUGAGCCUAGGUCGGAUUAGCUAGUUGGUGGGGUAAAGGCCUACCAAGGCGACGAUCCGUAACUGGUCUGAGAGGAUGAUCAGUCACACUGGAACUGAGACACGGUCCAGACGCCUACGGGAGGCAGCAGUGGGGAAUAUUGGACAAUGGGCGAAAGCCUGAUCCAGCCAUGCCGCGUGUGUGAAGAAGGUCUUCGGAUUGUAAAGCACUUUAAGUUGGGAGGAAGGGCAGUAAGUUAAUACCUUGCUGUUUUGACGUUACCAACAGAAUAAGCACCGGCUAACUUCGU